ACGGACUCAUCAUUCCAGCCAAUCAGCAGCAGACCCUCCCAGACCCUCCCACCUCCUGAACAGCAUCCAUUUUGAAGCUGCAUUCUUAGUGAGCUGUCCAGGAGGUGGGAGGGUCUGGGAGGGAGGGUCUGCUGCUGAUUGGCUGGAAUGAUGAGUCCG